AGUGAACGCUGGCGGUAGGCCUAACACAUGCAAGUCGAACGGCAGCACAGUAAGAGCUUGCUCUUACGGGUGGCGAGUGGCGGACGGGUGAGGAAUACAUCGGAAUCUACUUUUUCGUGGGGGAUAACGAAGGGAAACUUACGCUAAUACAGCAUACGACCUACGGGUGAAAGCAGGGGAUCUUCGCACCUUGCGCGAUUGAAUGAGCCGAUGAUGGAUUAGCUAGUUGGCGGGGUAAAGGCCCACCAAGGCGACGAUCCGUAGCUGGUCUGAGAGGAUGAUCAGCCACACUGGAACUGAGACACGGUCCAGACUCCUACGGGAGGCAGCAGUGGGGAAUAUUGGACAAUGGGCGCAAGCCUGAUCCAGCCAUACCGCGUGUGUGAAGAAGGCCUUCGGGUUGUAAAGCCCUUUUGUUGGGAAAGAAAAGCAGCAGGUUAAUACCCCGCUGUUCUGACGGUACCCAAAGAAUAAGCACCGGCUAACUUCGUG
rnacentral:rRNA from 1 species